rnacentral:piRNA from 1 species
AAGCCAACAUCUGUGGAUUUCGACAGGC